UACAGGGGGGGCAAGCGUUGUUCGGAAUUACUGGGCGUAAAGGGCUCGUAGGCGGCCAACUAAGUCCGACGUGAAAUCCCCAAGCUUAACUUGGGAACUGCGUCGGAUACUGGAUGGCUUGAAUUCGGGAGAGGGAUGCAGAAUUCCAGGUGUAGCGGUGAAAUGCGUAGAUAUCAGGAGGAACACCGGUGGCGAAGGCGGAUCUCUGGGCCGUAACUGACGCUGAGGAGCGAAAGCAGUGGGGAGCGAACAGG
rnacentral:rRNA from 1 species